UGAUUGUGCUUGCCAAAGAAAGUUUGAUGCUGAAGGCAAAGAAGUUGAACCUAACUUUGGACAAACGGCAAAAGUAAAAACCGGCUACCUCAACUCAUCAUACAAAACUGUUGCCAAGGGAACGCCAGACACAUUGAGUUAUGCCGAAGUGUGUGAAAGAGUUCAUUCUGAUCUGGUCGGGUUUGAGACAGGCAGUCAUUCUCAGUUGAUUUGUUUCUGGGGAGAGAAUGAGAGCUACGAUCAUGUGGAGUGUAGCCCAGGACAAAGAAUUAGACUAAAGACUAGAGGAGACUCUCUACUGAUAGAAUCAUUCACAAAGCUGGAUAGUGAUCAGCGAGCUCACUCAUCAAACUACACUGGAGGAGAGAAGACAGGACAGAGCUGGACUGAUAAGGUACUCGGACACAAAUCAACUGAUGAACCCAGCCAGGGAACAGGAGGAGGAGGAGAGGUUGAUGAUGAUGAAUGGGAUGACUGAGUAUACACAAGAAACCAAAAUAACUUUUUAUUUUUCAAUUUUAGUUCAAGUCAUUACUUUUAGCAUCAGUGAAUGAUAAUUAAAAUGUAUUAUUGUUUGUUAGAAAAAUAAUGCUGUAUACACAGUAUACUGAUGUACAGUGUAUUACAAUAAGUUUGUGUGUGAGUGUAUUAUUGGUUCUUUAUGAUUUAGCAUCCCA